UUAAUUCCUGCCUUAAUUAUUUCUUAAUUAUUUCUCUUUCUCUUUUUCAUUCUAGUCGCUCUUGUUGCUGCAGUUUGUCUUUAUUUGCGAGAUGUUGCUCAAGGAGGAAAACUUAAUGAAAGUGCUCAGACUAGAAACGAGAGAAAGACACAAAGUCUGGAUAUAAAUGGCACGGACUAAUCUGACACUAAAUAAAAAGACCAAAUCUGGAACAUAGAUUAAUUCAUUCAAACAAAAAAAAAAA